CAGCCAUACAACCCUGAGCACACCUGACCUUCUCUGAACUUGGAAGCUAAGCAGGGUCAGGCCUGCUUAGCAGGAUGGAAGACUGCCAUGGAAUACCAGGUGCUG
rnacentral:rRNA from 1 species